GGGGGAUAACGCAGCGAAAGCUGUGCUAAUACCGCAUACGAUCUACGGAUGAAAGCAGGGGAUCGCAAGACCUUGCGCGAAUGGAGCGGCCGAUGGCAGAUUAGGUAGUUGGUGAGGUAAAGGCUCACCAAGCCUUCGAUCUGUAGCUGGUCUGAGAGGACGACCAGCCACACUGGGACUGAGACACGGCCCAGACUCCUACGGGAGGCAGCAGUGGGGAAUUUUGGACAAUGGGCGCAAGCCUGAUCCAGCCAUGCCGCGUGCAGGAUGAAGGCCUUCGGGUUGUAAACUGCUUUUGUACGGAACGAAACGGCCUUUUCUAAUAAAGAGGGCUAAUGACGGUACCGUAAGAAUAAGCACCGGCUAACUACGUGCCAGCAGCCGCGGUAAUACGUAGGGUGCAAGCGUUAAUCGGAAUUACUGGGCGUAAAGCGUGCGCAGGCGGUAAUGUAAGACAGUUGUGAAAUCCCCGGGCUCAACCUGGGAACUGCAUCUGUGACUGCAUUGCUGGAGUACGGCAGAGGGGGAUGGAAUUCCGCGUGUAGCAGUGAAAUGCGUAGAUAUGCGGAGGAACACCGAUGGCGAAGGCAAUCCCCCUGGGCCUGUACUGACGCUCAUGCACGAAAGCGUGGGGAGCA
rnacentral:rRNA from 1 species